rnacentral:rRNA from 1 species
UCGGCGCACUGCUCAGUAACACGUGGACAAUCUACCCUGGGGUGGGGGAUAACCUCGCUAACGUGAGAACAAUACCCUAUAGACCGAGUACGCUGGAAUGCUCUUCGGUUGAAAGCUCCGGCGCCCCAGGAUGAGUUUGCGGCCUAUCAGGUAGUAGUGGGUGUAAAGGACCUACUAGCCUACGACGGGUACGGGCCUUGGGAGAGGUCGCCCUGAGUUGGAUUCUGAGACACGAAUCCAGGCCCUACGGGGCGCAGCAGGCGCGAAAACUCCACACUGUAGGAAACUGCGAUGGGGGGAAUCCAAGUGCAUGCACAUAGUGUAUGCUUUUCUCAAGUGUAUGUAGCUUGAGGAAUAAGGGCUGGGUAAGACGGGUGCCAGCCGCCGCGGUAAUACCUGCAGCUCAAGUGGUGAUCAUUAUUAUUGGGCCUAGAACGUCCGUAGCCGGUUUAGUAAAUGCCUGGGUAAAUCGUGUAGCUUAACUAUACGAAUUCCGGGUAGACUGCUAAACUUGAGACCGGGAGAGGCUAGAGGUACUCCUGGGGUAGAGGUGAAAUUCUGUAAUCCUAGGGGGACCACCAGUGGCGAAGGCGUCUAGCUAGAACGGGUCUGACGGUGAGGGACGAAGCCCUGGGGCACAAACCGGAUUAGAUAC